rnacentral:rRNA from 1 species
AAGACGGAACUUAACUGUCUCCUUUUCUCAUAUCCUAAUUUCACUUUCCCGUGAAGAGGCGGGAAAACAUUCGCUAGACGAGAAGACCCUGUCGAGCUUAAGCAGAACGCUAAUUUCUAGUUCCUCUUAAUUACAUUCUAAUUUUUUUUCUGUUAAAUUUAACUAAGAGAAAAUUAUUAGUACAAGCUUUGGUUGGGGCAACCACGGAGAAGAAAAAUCCUCCGCUUACAACAGAUAAAAACAAGACCCUACAAGUCUAAUAUUGUAUAAACAAGUCAACUGAUCCACCACGGUGAUCAAAGGAAAAAGUUACCGCAGGGAUAACAGCGUUAUCUUUUCUGAGAGUUCACAUUGACGAAAAGGUUUGCGACCUCGAUGUUGGAUCGGGACAUCCUAAGGGUGCAGAAGCUUUUAAGGGUUGGUCUGUUCGACCAUUUAAAGUCCU